GGAACAGGUGCCCGUGAGGGCUUAAUAGGGAAGUUCGGUUCAAUGCCGGCGCGGUCCCGCCACUGUAAUAAGGAGUUAGUCCAAGAUAUGCCACUGGGGUGAAAACUUUGGGAAGGUUUGGAUGAGCGAUGAUUUAAAGCCAGGAGAACUGCCUGUUUAUC
rnacentral:ncRNA from 1 species